CAUUUAUCUAUCUAUCUAUAUAUAUAUAUAUGAUAUAUAUAAUAUAUAUAUAAAUAAUAUAUAUAUAUAUAAAUAAUAUAUAUAUGUGUGUGUGUGUGUGUGUGUUUGUGUUUGUGUUUCUUGCAUGCAUGUUUCAAUGAGAGAAAAGUAAAGGUGUGUGAAGUUCAUCAGUAAUGAAGUGCUGUCAGUCAGUUAAAAGCUAAAAGACAAAGUUAAAAGAAUUAUGGAGAUGUCCUUAGAGGCAGCAAAAGGUCUCUUCUUGCAUCUUGAAAUAGUGUGAUGCCAAUUUUCUAAACAGUACUGUAGUGACUGGAUAAAAUGCUGUUUUGUUAUACCUCCUAGACUGAAGUUGGAGGAGAAUGUAUGAUAUAUGAAAUUGAACAAGGGUAUUCUGUAAAUUUUGAGAAAAGGAAGUAAGUUUUUAAAAAAAAUGUCUCCAAGACAAUCUGCAGGGCUGACAAAAAUAGUUUCCUGGCACUGGCUUAAUGAGAAAUUGACUUGAUGUGGUCUUCUGCAACACAUUUGAUAGAACUAGAGUGGCAUUUUCAAUCAAUGUUCUGCUGUUAGAUUGAAGAUGUCUCAAAUGUUUCACUGAAAAUAUAAAAAUGUUAGAUCACAUGGAUUAAAUAUUAUGGGUUGAUAAGCAUGAAAUGCUUGAGUGAAACAAGUGUAUAUGUAUCUGUUAUAUGUAUAUACCCUUCUGCCAUACAGUUGUCAUUGGUUGUGACUGUGUUUGUUCUCUGGAAGCAAGUCUGGUGAAGUCUUCAGCAUUACCUGUUCCUUAGUGUGAGAGAGGAACUUUUCCUUGGUUGGUGACACUCCAUUCCUCCUUCCUCAAGUCAAGGUUAUGAGGAUUCUGCUCUUUCCUAAGUGCCCAGAUGUGGUUUAGAGCACUCUGCAUUUUCUGCACCACUUGAGCUCUUGAACAUACAUUUGCAUGAGGUGCCAGUCAGUCAUGUGUGAAGACCUGUGGGAAUGUCACAGCCACCACAGGCCAGCAAGAUAAUUCUAUGGCACACUAUAGCUUCCAGGAUUAAGUUCAAAUUGGGAAUGAACAAGAUUAGCCAGUGGCAACCAGUUUCAUUUACAAGAUGUAAAUGGUGUCUUGAUUUUUCCAGUCAUUUGCAUCAAAUACUUUGGUGAGCACAUGUGAUCCACUUAUAUAUAUAUAUAUAUAUAUAUAUAUAUAUAUAUAUAAUAUAUAUAUAUAUAUAUAUAGUGUGUGUAAAGACAGUACACAUUCAUACAUAUUCAGCUUAUACAUAAUACAUGUAUGGUAGAAACAUACAAACACUUUCAGGUGUGUAUAUACACAUUCAUACAAAAAACUAUGGACAUGCACAUAAAGUGCAUGCACACACACACACACACACACACACACACACACACACACACACACACACACACACACACACACACACACACACACACACACACACACA